GACGAACGCUGGCGGCGUGCUUAACACAUGCAAGUCGAGCGGUAAGGCCCUUUCGGGGGUACGACGAGCGGCGAACGGGUGAGUAACACGUGGGUGACCUGCCCUCAGCUCUGGGAUAAGCCUGGGAAACUGGGUCUAAUACUGGAUAUGACUCCACGGUGCAUGUCGUGGGGUGGAAAGCCUUGUGCGGCUGAGGAUGGGCCCGCGGCCUAUCAGCUUGUUGGUGGGGUGAUGGCCUACCAAGGCGACGACGGGUAGCCGGCCUGAGAGGGCGACCGGCCACACUGGGACUGAGACACGGCCCAGACUCCUACGGGAGGGCAGCAGUGGGGAAUCUUGCGCAAUGGGCGAAAGCCUGACGCAGCGACGCCGCGUGAGGGAUGACGG
rnacentral:rRNA from 1 species